UCGGGACCCUAAUUAACAAAUGCAAAAUUAGAUAGAGGCCAAAACAACGUCGUUUUUUGUCAAAGCAUUCUUGAAGAUCUGUGUCGUAUCUUUCUCUCGGUACCACAUUAUUAGAAUUUGUGUGACCACGUUACCAUGAAGAUCACUCUCUCUUGUUUUUUUUUUCGUUUUUUUAAUUGGUUUAUAAGUUUAUUGAUAAAGUUAAGGUAUCACGAAGAUCUUUCUUAAAAAAAAAAAAAAUCAUUGAGUGGACGAGAAUAAAAAGAUCGAGAAACACAUGUCUACUUAAAUGUUUAACCACCGC
rnacentral:lncRNA from 1 species